rnacentral:rRNA from 1 species
UACGUAGGGGGGCUAGCGUUGUCCGGAUUUAUUGGGCGUAAAGAGCGUGUAGGCGGCCAGGUAGGUCUGCUGUGAAAACUCGAGGCUCAACCUCGAGACGUCGGCGGAAACCAUCUGGCUAGAGUCCGGAAGAGGAGAGUGGAAUUCCUGGUGUAGCGGUGAAAUGCGCAGAUAUCAGGAAGAACACCCGUGGCGAAGGCGGCUCUCUGGGGACGGUACUGACGCUGAGACGCGAAAAGCGUGGGGAGCGAACAGG